UCUAGUAACCUUGCUGGAGCCAGAUGAGAG
rnacentral:piRNA from 1 species